rnacentral:rRNA from 1 species
GUAGUCUGCAACUCGACUACAUGAAGCCGGAAUCGCUAGUAAUCGCGGAUCAGAAUGCCGCGGUGAAUACGUUCCCGGGUCUUGUACACACCGCCCGUCACACCAUGGGAGCCGGAAAUGCCCGAAGUCAGUGACCCAACCGCGAGGAGGGAGCUGCCGAAGGCAGGUCUGGUAACUGGGGUGAAGUCGUAACAAGGUACC